GGAAGUGGGGAUGACGUCAAAUCAUCAUGCCCCUUAUGUUCUGGGCUACACACGUGCUACAAUGGCCGGUACAGACGGACGCAAAGCCGCGAGGUGGAGCAAAUCCUAAAAAGCCGGUCUCAGUUCGGAUUGCAGGCUGCAAUUCGCCUGCAUGAAGUCGGAAUCGCUAGUAAUCGCAGGUCAGCAUACCUGCGGUCGAAUACGUUCCCGGGCCUU
rnacentral:rRNA from 1 species